rnacentral:rRNA from 1 species
GAUGAACGCUGGCGGCGUGCUUAACACAUGCAAGUCGAACGGAAAGGCCCAAGCUUGCUUGGGUACUCGAGUGGCGAACGGGUGAGUAACACGUGGGUGAUCUGCCCUGCACUUCGGGAUAAGCCUGGGAAACUGGGUCUAAUACCGGAUAGGACCACUUCUUGGAUGUUGUGGUGGAAAGUUUUUUCGGUGUGGGAUGAGCUCGCGGCCUAUCAGCUUGUUGGUGGGGUAAUGGCCUACCAAGGCGUCGACGGGUAGCCGGCCUGAGAGGGUGUACGGCCACAUUGGGACUGAGAUACGGCCCAGACGCCUACGGGAGGCAGCAGUGGGGAAUAUUGCACAAUGGGCGCAAGCCUGAUGCAGCGACGCCGCGUGGGGGAGGACGGCCUUCGGGUUGUAAACUCCUUUCGCUAGGGACGAAGCGUUUUGUGACGGUACCUGGAGAAGAAGCACCGGCUAACUACGUG